rnacentral:rRNA from 1 species
GACGAACGCUGGCGGCGUGCUUAACACAUGCAAGUCGAGCGGUAAGGCCCUUUCGGGGGUACACGAGCGGCGAACGGGUGAGUAACAUGUGGGUGACCUGCCCUCAGCUCUGGGAUAAGCCUGGGAAACCGGGUCUAAUACUGGAUAUGACUCCAUGACGCAUGUUGUGGGGUGGAAAGCCUUGUGCGGCUGAGGAUGGGCCCGCGGCCUAUCAGCUUGUUGGUGGGGUGAUGGCCUACCAAGGCGACGACGGGUAGCCGGCCUGAGAGGGCGACCGGCCACACUGGGACUGAGACACGGCCCAGACUCCUACGGGAGGCAGCAGUGGGGAAUCUUGCGCAAUGGGCGAAAGCCUGACGCAGCGACGCCGCGUGAGGGAUGACGGCCU